rfam:Tuber melanosporum whole genome shotgun sequence assembly, scaffold_40, strain Mel28
GGCAAGAUGGCCGAGUUGGUUAUGGCGCCAGGUUAAGGUUAUCUUAACACGUAUCCUGGUUCGGGAAACUGAGCGUGGGUUCAAGUCCCACUCUUGUCA